rnacentral:ribozyme from 13 species
AAAGAAAAGGAAAAAGAAAAAGAAAUAGGAGAAGAGAUAGGAUUUGAUAUUAAUAUGAUUCAUCCUUCUUCCUCUUCUACUCUUCUUUCUAUUGCACUGGGUCGUUUGGAUUUGGAUAUUGCAAAGAUCUUAUUAGAAAAUGGAGCAAAUGUGGAAUGGAAAGAUAAAGAAAAGAAUAAUUAUAUUCAAAUUAUUUUAUCAGAGGCUGAUAAAUCAAAAGAAGAUAAAA